CCUACGGGUGGCAGCAGUGAGGAAUAUUGGUCAAUGGGCGAGAGCCUGAACCAGCCAAGUCGCGUGAGGGAGUACUGCCCUAUGGGUUGUAAACCUCUUUUGUCGGGGAGCAAAAGCCGGACGUGUCCGGCUGUGAGAGUACCCGAAGAAAAAGCAUCGGCUAACUCCGUGCCAGCAGCCGCGGUAAUACGGAGGAUGCGAGCGUUAUCCGGAUUUAUUGGGUUUAAAGGGUGCGCAGGCGGAUUUUUAAGUCAGCGGUCAAAUCGUGGGGCUCAACCCCAUCCAGCCGUUGAAACUGGCAGUCUUGAGUACAGUAGAGGUGGGCGGAAUUCGUGAUGUAGCGGUGAAAUGCUUAGAUAUCACGAAGAACUCCGAUUGCGAAGGCAGCUCACUGGACUGCAACUGACACUGAGGCUCGAAAGUGUGGGUAUCAAACAGGAUUAGAUACCCCAGUAGUC
rnacentral:rRNA from 1 species